rnacentral:rRNA from 1 species
UACGUAGGGUGCGAGCGUUGUCCGGAAUUAUUGGGCGUAAAGAGCUCGUAGGCGGUGUGUCGCGUCGGUCGUGAAAACUUGGGGCUUAACCCUGAGCUUGCGGUCGAUACGGGCAUCACUGGAGUUCGGCAGGGGAGACUGGAAUUCCUGGUGUAGCGGUGAAAUGCGCAGAUAAUCAGGAGGAACACCGGUGGCGAAGGCGGGUCUCUGGGCCGAUACUGACGCUGAGGAGCGAAAGCGUGGGGAGCGAACAGGA